CGUAAAAUUUACUUUAUCUCAACCGCUCCCUCACCCCUUUCGAAAACCGUUAUCCCUGAGCGAUCAUUCCUACAACUAAGCCGGCGAUUCACGCGGAGAGGGACGAAGAAUUUGCGAGAGAGGUCGGAAGGAAUGGAAAGGGGACAAGCUAGCAUCAGAUAGCUUUGGUCUUAAUAUCCCUCACAGUCAGCCCUCUCUUCACCCUUCGACUGUCGUACCCAACACACUCCUAUACGUACGUCUAUAUCUAUCCACUAGCUAUCUGUAUAUAUACGUUAUUUCAGACUAUACGAGCUUUCCUAUCCUCCCUACGACCUCCCUUAUACGUACACAAUCCUCCAUACCAUACAUAGAACGUUACGAGACAGCUCGGGUGAAAGUUUUCCUUCGAUUGCUGCUCCCGGUAUACCCG
rnacentral:misc_RNA from 1 species